rnacentral:rRNA from 1 species
UACGUAGGGUGCAAGCGUUAAUCGGAAUUACUGGGCGUAAAGCGUGCGCAGGCGGUCCGUUAAGACAGAUGUGAAAAUCCCCGGGCUUAACCUGGGGAACUGCAUUUGUGACUGGCGGACUCGAGUAGUGGCAGAGGGGGGGUAGAAUUCCACGUGUAGCAGUGAAAUGCGUAGAGAUGGUGGAGGAAUACCCGAUGGCGAAGGCAGCCCCCUGGGCCAAUACUGACGCUCAUGC